CUAUAUUAUAAAACAAAUAUAAAACAUUUUUUCCGUAUUGAUGUAUAGUUAUAUCAACACUCGUGGAAGUUGGGAAAACUCGAAAUUGUGUGAAAACACUCCGCCCUUCGGGCGUCGUGUUUCCACACAAUUUCUCGUUUUCCCAAUUUCCACUCGUGUUGAUACAACUGUAUAUCAACACGGAAAAUGUUUUAUAUUUGUUAAAUAGAGAAUA